AACCCAGUGCAUACUUUCAUGUGAGCACAUCUCGAUUUGGACCUACAAAGUGUUCAGCAGCCACAUGUAACCAGUGGCUAUGGACAAGGGAAAUUCUAGAAGGAAGACACAGCCCUUCCCCCCUCAGAGCUCAUAAGUGCAACUCUGGGCCAAGUUCAAGAGCAAAGGAUGGCACUUCACACGCGCUCCUGAAAAUAUGAGGCCAGGCUGUGUGUUCUCGAGAACCCUGUUUUCAGAAAUGGUGACUUGAAAGAUCCAUCGUGUCAUAAUCGUGCCUUUCGGUUUCAAAUUAGCCACAGUGAGAAUUCUGUGUUUAAGACGGAAUGUGAAAGUUCAAAGAAGCUAGAGGGAAAUGAACAAGAAUAACAUCACCGAGAUGGUUAAGAAUAGUAUGACUAUAUUUCUACGUGCAGAUAAAGAUUUCCUGGACAAGCUGUGGCUGUCUCCCUCCCUCCCUCCCUACACCAUGGGAACAACAGUCACUUCCUCAUUGUUGCCACACUGCAUACUGCAUGAAGGUCACCUGCAGCGACUUGAGGGAAGUGCAGCAGGAUUCAACUACCCUCCAGCUUUCAGGAGCAAGUAAUGUUGACAAAAGGGUUCUUGUAAGUAGUCCAGCGCGGUCCUGGGAGCCAGAUUACUGCCUUUGAAUCACAGCUGGCCACUU